AGAGUUGAUCAUGGCUCAGAACGAACGCUGGCGGCGCGUUUAAGCAUGCAAGUCGAGCGGCAAGGGCCUUCGGGCCCCUAGAGCGGCGGACGGGUGAGUAACACGUGGACAAUCUGCCCCCCGGCCCGGGAUAGCCCAGGGAAACCUGGAUUAAUACCGGAUGAGACGGGACCUGCGAUGGCGGGAUCCGGGAAAGGCGCUACGGCGCCGCCGGGGGAUGAGUCUGCGUCCCAUUAGCUAGACGGCGGGGUAACGGCCCACCGUGGCGACGAUGGGUAGCCGGCCUGAGAGGGUGGACGGCCACAUUGGAACUGAGACACGGUCCAGACUCCUACGGGAGGCAGCAGCUGAGAAUCUUCCGCAAUGGGCGAAAGCCUGACGGAGCGACGCCGCGUGAACGAAGAAGGCCGUGAGGUUGUAAAGUUCUUUUCGGGAGGAGGAACAACCGUGGCAGGGAAUGGCCGCGGGAUGACGUGAAUCCCGGAAUAAGCCCCGGCUAACUACGUGCCAGCAGCUGC
rnacentral:rRNA from 1 species